GGAGAAGCCUCACACGCGAGGACGUGCACGACCAGCAGCAUCCCAACGCUGCUCCUUUCCUCAAUUUUUAUUCACCAUCAAGCUCCAGCACAGGAACGGACAGUCGCACGACGCUACGUUUUUCAGUUUCUGUGCAUUUCCUCUCCAAUUGAUUCCGGGCGUUUUAAGCCACCAUUUGAUGCACCGUUUGUUGCUACUUAAGCUCCACACCGUCCUCUUCAUUUGCCCUCAAACCGCACAGACCGAGAGCCUCCAGGCUGCUCUAAUUUUACCUCGCAAUUCCACGGUACCGUCACGGUAAAUCGUCGAUUGCGCGACGGCGCCAUCUUCGACUGUGAGCACGUAGGCGAGAGGUUUUCCGGCGAGCAAUUUCCGGCGAACUACUGCACCUCGACGCCGCGACUUUGUCAUCGAGUUUCCCUUGUCAAGCUGAGCUUCACCGUCUUCCCCGCCAUCGCCAAGGAGCACCGGAACGUCAACGCCGGCGACAUCAGACAAUACUGCUGCGCGUUCCCAUUGUGAUUGUGCUGAUUGCAACGAGUGUUUUUGCGAAGAGUGUACCAACUCCUCAUCUCACCAAGGCAAGUGACACACACCAAAAGUCCCAGUUUUAAU